UCAUUCAUAGUGUUCCCUAGUUUUGAUGCAUUGCAUCUUAUUCUAACAUCCUUGCCUCAUAACAUAAUAGCAUAAGCUAUAACCUGUCAUAAUUACAAUUACAACCAAAUUACACUUUCUGCAACUUCAUAUACAACACAGAAUAAUUAUAAAGCUAAGUGCAGCCAGUUAUGCACAAGAGGGAGCAUCAAAACUAGGGAACACUAUGAAUGA
rnacentral:misc_RNA from 1 species